UUAGAAAAUAAUAUUACCUGUAUGUUUACAAAUAAAAAGUAAAAAACUGGAAGGAUAAGAGUAUUAUUUUUCACCAGAUAAUUGGAAUGAAGGUUUGACAUCCCUGCAACUUCCAACCACCAGUACAGUAGGUUUGACAUCCCUACAACUCUGCAAUUGAAUUCAACAAAAUUAAUAACAUGAUCUGUAAUUAAAUAUUACGCAACUAUGUUGGUGGUGUGGGCAGACUCUCCGAUUUCCAUAAUCAUCACACUCCUUCUCUUCUUCCUCUUGCGAUUUGCUAUUUUUUUCCUCUUUCUGCUACUGCUCUUCUUUCUCUGCGCCGAACUUGUUCACCUCAUAUUCCACUAAUUCUCAUUCAAAAUGGAAUUUCUAGUAGCUAGCAGCAGGAGGCACAUUUCCCAUUACUCGUGAUGAUGAUGGAGGACUUCAGGGGCCUUCUUUUAAUGGACAGUAAGGGUUGAAAUUUUCUGUUGAAAUAAACAAUGUCUGGCCUUUCCUAAACACGCUUUGGUGCAAGUUAAAAGUGUGUUUUGGAACUUCUUUAGAAAUACUCUUAACUUUGUAUCCAAACUGAUUAAAUAUUAGAUUUGCCAAGAAUUCUUUAUUCUGCUUCCAAAAGUGCUCAGGUUGAGAUGAAUCAUACAGUAGUACAUGUUGAUGUAUUGAAACAAACACUAUUCACAACAUAAUUUGAAUAGAACUUUUUCUUUUCUGCUGA